rnacentral:rRNA from 1 species
AUUGAACGCUGGCGGCAGGCCUAACACAUGCACGUCGAACGAGUGGCGGACGGGUGAGUAAUGUCUGGGAAACUGCCUGACGGAGGGGGAUAACUACUGGAAACGGUAGCUAAUACCGCAUACCAUCGGAUGUGCCCAGAUGGGAUUAGCUAGUAGGUGGGGUAAAGGCUCACCUAGGCGACGAUGCCUAGCUGGUCUGAGAGGAUGACCGGCAACACUGGAACGGAGACACGGUCCAGACUCCUACGGGAGGCAGCAGUGGGGAAUAUGGCACAAUGGGCGCAAGCCUGAUGCAGCCAUGCCGCGUGUAUGAAGAAGGCCGUCGGGUUGUAAAGUGCUUUCAGCGGGGAGGCGUUACCCGCAGAAGAAGCACCGGCUAACUCCGGGCCAGCAGCCGCGGUAAUUC